AGUGAACGCUGGCGGUAGGCCUAACACAUGCAAGUCGAACGGCAGCACAGUAAGAGCUUGCUCUUACGGGUGGCGAGUGGCGGACGGGUGAGGAAUACAUCGGAAUCUACUUUUUCGUGGGGGAUAACGUAGGGAAACUUACGCUAAUACCGCAUACGACCUACGGGUGAAAGCAGGGGAUAUUCGGACCUUGCGCGAAUGAAUGAGCCGAUGUCGGAUUGGCUAGUUGGCGGGGUAAAGGCCCACCAAGGCGACGAUCCGUAGCUGGUCUGAGAGGAUGAUCGCCCACACGGGAACUGGGACACGCUCAAGACUCCUCCGGGAGGCAGAAGUGGGGAACAUUGGACAAUGGGCGCAAGCCUGCUCCAGCCAUACCCCGUGGGUGAAGAAGGCCUUCGGUUUGUAAAGCCCGUUUGUUGGGAAAGAAAAGCAGCAGGUUAAUACCCCGCUGUUCUGACGGUACCCAAAGAAUAAGCACCGGCUAACUUCGUG
rnacentral:rRNA from 1 species